rnacentral:rRNA from 1 species
CCUACGGGAGGCAGCAGUGGGGAAUAUUGCACAAUGGGGGAAACCCUGAUGCAGCGACGCCGCGUGAAGGAAGAAGGAUUUCGGUAUGUAAACUUCUAUCAGCAGGGAAGAAAAUGACGGUACCUGUCUAAGAAGCCCCGGCUAACUCCGUGCCAGCAGCCGCGGUAAUACGGAGGGGGCCAGCGUUAUCCGGAUUUACUGGGUGUAAAGGGAGCGUAGGCGGUUUAGCAAGUCAGAAGUGAAAGCCCGGGGCUCAACCCCGGGACUGCCUUUGAAACUGUUGAACUAGAUGGCAGGAGAGGUAAGUGGAAUGUCUGGUGUAGCGGUGAAAUGCGUAGAGAUUAGGAGGAACACCGGUGGCGAAGGCAGCUUACUGGACUAUAAAUGACGCUGAGGCUCGAAAGCGUGGGGAGCAAACAGGAUUAGAUACCCUGGUAGUC